UACGUAGGGUCCAAGCGUUAUCCGGAAUCACUGGGCGUAAAGCGUACGUAGGCGGAUAUUUAAGUGCAACGUGAAAUCCUGUGGCUCAACCACAUGGACUGUGUCGCAUACUGGAUAUCUCGAGGAUGGCAGAGGCAAGUGGAAUUACCGGUGUAGCAGUGAAAUGCGUAGAUAUCGGUAGGAACACCAAUGGCGAAGGCAGCUUGCUGGGCCAUUUCUGACGCUAAGGUACGAAAGCGUGGGGAGCGAACAGG
rnacentral:rRNA from 1 species